UUAUUUAUAUUGUAUUACUUUUUAAGUUACAAAUAUUAAUAUACAGGCUAUUUACACUCUAGAGAGAGUAAAGUGUUUACAUGUAGACCAACACAUUUAGAGAAAAAAAUACAAAAAUUGAAUACUACUACUGCGAUUCAGUAUGAAGAGAGAAAAAUGAAGUAGGUAGGCUACAUUAAUUAACACCUAAAUGGUUCUUCAUCCGUUUUAUCGUCUUUGCAAACAAUCUCCGUACUGGGACCAGCAACAGCAGCUGAAAGGAAAGGGAACACUAGAGGCGAGGCAACAAGGCAGGCCAGAUGAUCCGGCAUGGUGGCCAACGCAGCGAGGGGUUCCGGGGAGGCCCCACCUCCCGGACAGGUAGCGCCUGUCCCUCAGCAGUAAUCUCAUUAGGAGCAGCGCCUCUCUCCCUGUCUGUCGAGUGUUCUCAGAGCUUUGAGUACUAAGUCAGGAGUCUAUGAUGCAACACUUUGGAGGGCUGAGACACCUCCGCAGGUCGGGACUUGGCAGGAAUUUAGAGAUGGAGGACGGCAUGUGGCAUGAGUGUGAAAGUGACAGGGGCUGGUGGCGAUACCGUCGAAUCCUCAGAGCGAUAUGUGAGAGAAGUAAAGUGAAGACGGCGAGUGACCUCUUCGUGAGCGACAGUGGACAACAAGUAACAGGCUUCGUAUGGAAAGAUUGGUGCAUCGGGGACUGAAGCAUCUGGGUGUUGUAUGAGCAGCGAAUGAGUAAGUUGAGUAGUGCGAGGCAGUGUGUUGGGACAGAUGUACAUAGUAAGAAACGAGCAGUAAAGAGAGCCACUGUCAAGCUGAGCUCCAGUGAAGAGAGUAAAUGGUGUGGAUUGGGCAAGAGAGGGGAUGGGGGGGGGGGGGGGGAAUUGACAUCGACCCAGGCAAUGCCCUCCCACAAGCCCAAUGUGCUUUGACCCUUUAUGCCUUAUUAACUCCUCUCCAACCAUCACCUUCUAUCUUCCACCGGCUGUUUUAACCUCCCGCCAGCAAUAUGCAUGUGUGAGUGUGACAUAAUGAUACCCACAACCGCAAGAGGCAACGUAGAGACAGUGAUCUGCACCCCAAAUUGAUUAAAUGCACAAUAAUAUUAUAACCUUAAUAUUUUACAUCACAUGUAUCUAUUAAAUUUUUUCUUCAGUUCAAACUAAAUAACGAAAAAGCUGCACUAUGUACAAGCUUUCACGAACAUACUUCCUCUUGAGCGGUUUAGGUUUUGAACUGUAAAUUUUAAUACAAAAAUAUGUGAUCAUAAAAGUAAUUUAUUAGCUUGUAUAAGUCAGCAACAGCAAGUGUUAAAAGGUUUAUUGUUUCCCAUCGGCAAAAAUUCAAUGAAGACUAAACUGUGAUAGGAAGGAAGGCAACGAUGCUUCCCUUGCGGCCAAGACACCCUCUUGACUCUCUCGCCCGCAGGACGCUGCUCGUGCACCUCAUCCGUUUCACCUCAUGACAUUUGAUCUGAUGGCAUCCAUUCUUUAUUUAAGUAAUCUAAAACCUUUGCUUUUAUCUUCGAGGCCUACUACAGGUGGCAGACUUUUCAGCAUGUAUAAUUUAAGUUCAGCGUCUUAACUUUCUAGACCAGGUCACGUGGUGUCCUUGUCCAUACCUAAAUUGAUUAUGUGCAGUUGGCUUUUUGAUGGUUUUAAAUUGUUUAGUACGUGGAGUAAAACGUGCGUGACUCUCGUGAGUAUUUAUCUUAGAGGUGGACGGGAUCCCGAAAUUCAGGAUAAAAGUCGGGAAAAAAACCAUUCCCGAAAUUCGGGAAAAAUUAUUUUUCUCUUCGGGAUAACACCUCGGGAAAACUAAUUUUUUUAAAUAGUAAAAACCUUCGUCGUACUAAUUUUUAUAUUAUAAAAAUACGUUAUGUAUAUAACAACUUCGUAUACGUAUUAAACAAACAAAGUACAAAGACAUCACAAAAAAUAAAAUACAUAUUAUAAACAUUAACGUAAAUUCAACACUCGUUCAUAAACAUAGUUUAAAAUAAAUCUCAGACUAAAUAAAGAACUCAAUGUUGAAUAUUAUUUUAAAUGAAUUUAUUUUUAAGUUUGGCGAAUGUUAACAUCUUUGCCGUAUUUUUAGGUUAUAAAUUGUCUUCAAAAUUAACAAGAGCAACAAUAAGAGUGUUGCCAAACGCGUAAUAUUCGAAACGCUAAAAAACUGAAAGACGCCAUCUUGGUUUCAAAUGUUUAUGCCAUUAUAAAUGUAUUUCAUAAACAUCAGAGGGUUUUACGUUUUAGUAGUUGGUCAUUAUGUAAGAAUGAAAGUGAACAAUUAAAAACCAGUGGUAUUUUUAAAGUACGCUUGAUAAUUAUUUCCGGUAAAUUUCAUUUAAUAAAAAAGGGUAGUUUAUAAACUUGUGUGAACGAUGGAGCCGAGCAUUCCAGGCAGUAGCAAAAGUGAACCAGGGGUGUUAUCUGCGCCUAUUUGGAAGUUCUUUAAGAAAUUACCAAAUAACAAGGUGCAAUGUACUUUGUGCCCUUCUGUCCUGAAAAUGGAAUAUGGUUCUACAACAGGUAUGCACAGACACUUAACAUCCGAAGGCAAAAAAUGAGUUGGCCAUUCUUCAGGAAAAAUACACAUCUUUCAAAUUAUCAAGCAGAAGUGAGAAAAAGUCAGUUAAAUCAGAUGUACCAACAAAUCAGCCCAAGCUAGCUAAUUUUGUCACCUUCGGUAUUGACCACCCCAAGCAAAAGGCUUUGACAAAAGAAGUAGGUAAAUGGUUAGCAAAUGGUUGCCAUCCAUACAGCAUUGUUGAUGAAAGAGGACAAAAGAAGUAGGUAAAUGGUUAGCAAAUGGUUGCCAUCCAUACAGCAUUGUUGAUGAAAGAGGCCAAAAAAAUGUUUUAAAAUUGGCUCAGCCUUUGUACAGUCUGCCAUCGAGCAAAACAUUCAGCAGGAAAAUAAUUCCAGAGUUGUACAAAGAAACAGUCAACAGUUUGAAUGCUAAAAUAGGCAGUGCCAUUUCCACUGUGUCAUCUCUAGCGUUCACAACAGACUUGUAGUCGUCGAGAAGUAAUCUUGCAUUCUUGUCAGUUACUAUGCACUGCAUGGAUCAAGAUUUCUGUCUUCAGUCUCAUUGUCUAGGUUAAUUUCAUUUCUCUGGUGACCACACAGCUUAAGCAAUAUGCAAGAAAUUCAAAGAAUGCUUACAUAAAUGGAAUCUGAGUGAUACAUGCAACACAUUGCCUGUAUUUCUAGUGACUGACAAUGCAAGGAACAUGAAGGCUGCAGUCUCAUUAUUAAAACCCUUCAGUCACUUGCAAUGUUUUGCACAUACUUUACAGCUUGUAUUGUCUAAUGCAAAGAAGAGUUCCGCAGAAAUACAAGAUUUGGUUAAAGCAUGCAGAUCUAUAGUUGGUUACUAUAAGCAUAGCACUACAGGCAUGGAGAGGCUUCAUAAAAUUCAAAAUCAAUUGAGAUUGCCAAAACUUAGAGUGAUUCUGGACUGCGAAACACGCUGGAAUUCUGAAUAACUGAUGCUUGAACGGUUACUGAACAUUAAGGAAGCUAUUUCAAGGGACUUGCUUUCAGAAGGAAAACAUGGCAAUCUAAGUAUCUCAGAAUGGAAAAUGGUUGAUACAUGUGUGAAAAUUCUCAAACCUCUUUAUCAGGCAACAGUGGAGGUGUAUGGUGAAAGGACACCGACAAGUACAAUUGUUAUUCCAAUUAUUUAUUUAAUAACAAAUAAACUGGACAAGUACUCUGCUGUAAAUGAACAUAGAAUUGGGAAAACAUUUGGGCACAAUUUGCUACUGUCACUUAAAUCAAGGUUUCCUGGUUACAAAACAAAGCAACCAUAUUUGUCAGCCAUGAUGCUGGAUCCCCGCUUCAAGCUCAUUCUUCUAGACAAGCAUGAGAAGGAUGCAGAUAUCCUAUUCCUUACACAGCAAAGCCAGGCACAAUCCUACAAGACUUGAGCAUAACCAUGCCACUUCACAAGUUCAAAAACUAUCUGCUACUUCGACAAAUCUCUUCGGUCAGAACUUGGAAAUGUACCUGUGUGAACCUGUUAUAGACAUAACGGAGGAUCCUUGUUUGUGGUGGAAAAAUAAUAUAACCCGAUUUCCAACACUCAAAAACAUUGUCUUGAGUUAUCUUGGCAUACCAGCAACAGAGGUUGCCAGUGAACGGGUUUUUUCUAGUGCUGGCAAUAUUGUCAGUGCCAAAAGAAAAAAAUUAACAAGUGAAAAAGUUGAAGAGUUGGUGUUUCUUCAUGAAAAUUUAAAGUAGAGGAGGACACAAGAUAUUUGUAUUUAUUACAUUUUAUGUUAUUUACUAGCUGCAAUACCCGGCAUUGCCCGGGCUGAACACAGGGUGAAGGGGACCUUUUUCGAAAUCAGAUGUAGUUAGUAAUUGUCUUCUUAAUUUGAAUGUCAAGUGUGAAAAUUAAUUUAUAUCACUUUCAGAUCCCGACAGACGUUGUUCUGCCAGUUUAUAGUUAUUUACCUGGUCUGUAUGUAAUUUAGACUUUAUAAAGCAAUAUAGAAAAAAGCUGAAAAAUAAGAGAUUACAAAUAUUGAAAAUAUUCCAUUAUCUAGCUAAUGCUCGGCCUGCAUUGCAAUGCCUCAUUCAGUUAUGUUUUGUAAUAUGUUUGAAGUAGUUCCACAUAUACAAAUCAUCUAUCCAUUUCUCUAUACAUAUUUAUCUCUAUCUACAUCUAUAUACAUCUAUGUAUCUCUCUAUCUCUAUUUA